AUAAUUAGGACGAGGUGUCCUUGUAGAUCUGUGUACAUCUUCUGGUAGGUGUCUCGGCAUUCGGUAGCUGUAUAUCCAUCCGAGUCACUCCGCUGGAGGUCGAGUAUUAUUUUGUUAUGUAUAGAUGAACUUAAAUGUAAAUUUUAAAAGAGUAAUGCCAGUACGAGUUGGCAAUGUAUAUCACUAUUUUGACUCAAAGUCAUGAAAUAGGACUUAGUGAUAAUAAAUAGAAUCAUGAGUAAAAUAAAUAAUAGGCUUGCUUGGGUUUAAUGGAUUACGUCCAUUGGACCCAUGCGCCGGUCAUGACCCGAAAUUUGGGUCGUGACA
rnacentral:lncRNA from 1 species